GCUAAUUAUAAGUUGCCUUGUUUUAAUUGAAUAAAUUGUGUUUUUAAAGUGUUCUCGUACAUUUGCCACCACUAAACUUAUCUGCUUCAAUGUUUGUCGGUAGCAAACGAGCGUCCGCAAGAGGUGAAAACAAAGAAGGACUACCAUCACGAUCGCGUACCGAUUCAGGGACAAAGUUUUUCCGCCCAACAACCGUCGCCGGGUGGAAGUAAUUUAAAUUCAAAAUGUGAUCGUUGUGCGAAAACUUUCAGUCGCAGCACAAUGCAAACCUGCGGCGUUCGAGCGGGAAAACGGAUACACUUCACAUGUACACACAUAUGCAACCCGAGAGUUCACUGUUGAGGGUAGACUGGGGAUGUGGCAAUUCGUCUUGGAAAAAUAUUACCACAAAGUUAGCGCCAACUCCUCCAGGGACACUCGUCCGGCGCAGUGGUGGUGGUUCGAUUGUAAAUCAGAUGCUAGCUGGUGCCACCAUCCCGGAGGAACCCGAUGGAGUGGAUCAGCCAGUUGGUAGUUUAUAUGAUGCUACUUACCACCAUAGUUUGGUGUGCAGGUCACACAUUUUACGCCAAGUUACACAUGGCACCCCGCAAGCGUCCCCGGGCUGAAAGCUCGAACUUCAUUCCCGGCGAACCCGGAGUACCGGAGGACACAAUGUCACGUCCAAUAGAUGGGCCACUUCCGGGUGGAAGAAAACCGAGAGAGAGCGAGCGAACGAGCGAGACACUGGACUAUCAGUUGCAUUCGGGAGCUGACUGUUGGGCGGACUUUUGGAAAAUUGGAAAGGAUUUUAUGCCCAAGUAGUAGGUAGCACAAGAAAAACAAAAUCAUCAAGGAUUCAUCCAACAUGAAGGAUGCUUUCCCCAUCUCGAGUCGAGAAGAAGGUCUUGAUUAAAGGUUUACAAUCCUGGCACUUUUUGCUGCAGCCGAUGGGCGCUGUUGUUGUGAAUCUCUUCAGGCGUAUCACUUGGAGAUUGGGAGCAUCGAAAAAACGGGAAAAGCGGGGUCCAUAAAUAUGCUUUUUAGGAUAUGGUGUGCGUUUUUGCGUAGCCCCUUCGGUGCCACGCAUUCGGUUGGAGUGCGUGUAAUUAAGUUUUAAUUGAAAAUUCCUGCCCGGUGGUGUUUUGUGCGAAGAGGUUCCUUCACACUCACACGCACAUCCCAGGAAUACUGUAAGCCGGGUAUGUCUAGAAUGUAGCAAAAGUUGGCGUUGUGCGGUGGAGAGAGAAAGAGAGCUCAACACACCCAAACGUUGCACGCCUGAAUUGCGUGUUUUAUUGCAUGUAAUUCUGCAGUAAUUCCUGGAAGGUUGAUGGCAGCGUGGAGGACGUAGUGGACGAGAUGAGCUCAUAAACGGCUUCAGAUCAUCUGGAAGUACGUACGCACGGGAAAUAAGCGCGUGCACAUCAUUCCCGGCAUUGUACGGUUGGAACUGUGGAAGUCGUAAAAAAUAUUUCGCUCCUGGACGCUGGAUCUCUCGUCUGGGUCUAGGCUCUUUACAAUGCUGGGAGGCAAAAGGCGAUAUGGACAGUGAGCAAUGAACGUGUAAUGGGCAGGAUAAAAGAGUCGUGUAAUGAAACCUACAAUCAGGGUGUUUAUUUGCACGGUAACGUAUCGUGCAAUAAGUAUAGAAGGUUUAGUACCAUCCAAGCGUAAAUAAUACUAGGUAAUAUAUGAUUGAUUAAGCUAGAUCCUCUUCAAGCAGAUAAGGUAUGUAGCCUUUGUAAAAAUCUUCAAUAUUUAAAACUGCGGCGACUCUGGCUCGUUCUCACAAUCCACCCGCGGGUUGGCAAAUUAUGAAGUAAUUAUUCACUCUACGACACCUCCCCCAAAGGCGUACCGCCAUAAAUCCGUUGAAAAGGAACAAAAUGAAAUACUGCAACCGCGGCAAAUGGCUGCCAGAGAAUGGCGAGGAAUUUUAGUUUAACGGGUGAAUGAUAAUUAUUUAAGCGUGGGUACAAACAAAACUCACCCCCCUUCAAAUGGUUUUAAUGUCGUGGUAAUGAUUUAGCAGCCAUUUUUUUCGCUCAUUCACAGACUAGAAACAAAAGGAAAAUCAUGGUGUACCGGUGUGCACUUCCCUGUCCGCUGGGAGAGUGGGAUUAUCGUUGGUUUCUUUUUGUAUCGAGGCCAUGUGUUUCGGCUAUGGGAGUUCCGAGACGCGGAUAGAUAUUAGCGAUGAGUUGUGCCACCGGAGAUGAGCAUUCCUGUCGAUGGAAAAAUUCCUUGAUAUCACUUUUCUCCUCUUACAAAUAAAACUGUUUAGGGAUAGACUCCUACUGGACUCAGUGACAGUCAGUGACAUACGGCCAGAGAUUGCAGCUCGCGCCGUACCUUUCUGUUGGAUGCCAUUUUUUUCUUCUCUUCUGUAAAUGAAAAUUCCCACUGGUGGUGUUUUGUGUGCACCCUGCCAGCGCGUAGGGUUCCCUUUUGCGUUACAUAUUUUUUGUGUUCACGCAACGGCAAAAACCAACGGCACGUCACGCAAGCAAGAAGAAGUACGAUUCCCCUCCGGGAGUUUCCCGGAAGGAUUCGUGUGGAACGAUAGCUCGGAGGGAAAAUUGAAAGAACGCGAAUGCCGCGGAAACCACGGAACCUCGAACAUGACAGGCCCACAAAUGACCACUGACACGCGGAAAACGGAACGGGACGGAACGCGCUAGAACCGCUCGUUCGGCCGGGAGAUAUUCACAGAUAAUUAUGGUAAAUUAUGGACGCGCAAAGUAUUUUUCGUGUUGCUCUGAGCGAGAGCUGAAAUUAAUACCACUCCCCAGGACGGACGGAUCGGUGGCGUCAGUUUUUGUGAUGUGAGGAAGAAAAUAAAAACGGCCAGCAUAAAACCACAACAAGAUAACACCAAAGCGGAAGGAGAUAUAUAGUAAAUGCCGCCUCGUCGAAUGGAAUGGAUUGAAUUA